ACAUCCAGAGAAUUUAGCAGAGAUGCUUUAGUGCCUUCGGGAACUCUGAGACAGGUGCUGCAUGGCUGUCGUCAGCUCGUGUUGUGAAAUGUUGGGUUAAGUCCCGCAACGAGCGCAACCCUUAUCCUUUGUUGCCAGCACGUAAUGGUGGGAACUCAAAGGAGACUGCCGGUGAUAAACCGGAGGAAGGUGGGGAUGACGUCAAGUCAUCAUGGCCCUUACGAGUAGGGCUACACACGUGCUACAAUGGCGCAUACAAAGAGAAGCGACCUCGCGAGAGCAAGCGGACCUCAUAAAGUGCGUCGUAGUCCGGAUUGGAGUCUGCGACUCGACUCCAUGAAGUCGGAAUCGCUAGUAAUCGUAAAUCAGAAUGUUACGGUGAAUACGUUCCCGGGCCUUGUACACACCGCCCGUCACACCAUGGGAGUGGGUUGCAAAAGAAGUAGAUAGCUUAACCUUCGGGAGGGCGUUUACCACUUUGUGAUUCAUGACUGGGGUGAAGUCGUAACAAGGUAAGCGUAGUGCU
rnacentral:rRNA from 1 species